UUGACAGAAGCCAAAACGGAGGCUUAUCACUGUUAAUGAUAAAACUGAAAUUCAUUUCCUGUUAAA
rnacentral:tRNA from 1 species